CUACGUGCCAGCAGCCGCGGUAAUACGGAAGGUCCGGGCGUUAUCCGGAUUUAUUGGGUUUAAAGGGAGCGUAGGCCGGAGAUUAAGUGUGUUGUGAAAUGUAGACGCUCAACGUCUGACUUGCAGCGCAUACUGGUUUCCUUGAGUACGCACAACGUUGGCGGAAUUCGUCGUGUAGCGGUGAAAUGCUUAGAUAUGACGAAGAACUCCGAUUGCGAAGGCAGCUUACUGUAGCGCAACUGACGCUGAUGCUCGAAAGCGUGGGUAUCGAACAGGAUUAGAUACCCUGGUAGUCCACGCGGUAAACGAUGGAUGCUCGUUGUCGGCCCUUAUGGUCGGUGACCAAGCGAAAGCGUUAAGCAUCCCACCUGGGGAGUACGCCGGCAACGGUGAAACUCAAAGGAAUUGACGGGGGCCCGCACAAGCGGAGGAACAUGUGGUUUAAUUCGAUGAUACGCGAGGAACCUUACCCGGGCUUGA
rnacentral:rRNA from 1 species